AUUGCAUUCAAGGUUGGAAGACUUAAUUGAUGUGCGUGUAGAAAAUAUACAAAAAAAAAACGUGGUGAAAAUUUUGCAAAACCAUAAAAGGGAACAUAAACCAAAUAAAAAACAAUACAAAAGUGUUUUGGCUGCAAAGACGAAAACUUAAAAACCAACCCCUGGAUAAGGUACGCCAAGAAAAAAAUGAAAAAGUGACCUUAUUACAUAAUUCCAUGUAUGUACUGUACAUAGGUUAUGAUCCACGUGUGGCAGGAAAUUGCUGACCUGGCCUGACCCUCGGUCUCGGAGGGGGGGUCCGCUCCAGUACCACGAGGAGGUGGCGGCGUGGAAGCUGUGUGUCCCCACGAGAACAGGUUCUAAGGGAGAAUCAUGACUCUCCAGGGGCUGGGCAUGCUGGCGGUCGGAAGACCAUGGCACGAAUUGCCGCAAUGUAUUAUUGGCCAGGGAUGCACCGGGACGUAAGGGCAUACGUGAGGAGGUGCGAAACCUGCCUGCACUUCAAGCCAAGCCAGAUACGGGCAGCUGGGAAAAUGUUGACCCAGGUCCCAGAAGAGCCAUGGGCAACAGUGUGUGCGGACUUCGUGGGACCUCUGCCGAGAUCGAAGCAUGGGAACGCAAUGCUGUUGGUGUUAGUGGAUCGUUUCUCCAAAUUGACCGAAUUGGUACCGUUGAGAAAAGCCACUGCGGAAGCGUGGCUCGAUUUGUAGUGCCAAAGGUGAUGAUCACCGAUAACGGAGUCCAAUUCACAAGCCGCGUGUUCAAGAAGUUCCUGGAGGAAAUGGGGGUCAGACCCCCACCGCUCCAUACACACCCCAAGAAAACCCAACAGAACGCACCAAUCGUACAGUGAAGACGAUGAUCGCACAGUUCACGGAGGGGAACAGCGGUGCUGGGAUGAGAAAUGGCCUGAGCUGAUGCUAGCUGUGAAUACAGGCGUAGCAGAAUCAACAGGGUAUUCUCCAGUGUACAUCGUACAAGGAAGAGAACCCCGACUGCCAAAUGCGCUGUACGACGAGGGAGCCCUGGGAACAGGACAAGGGCCGAGAACACCCGAGGAGAAUGCAUCCAAAUUGAGGGAAAUUUUCCAGUUGGUGCGACGCAAUCUGGAGAGGGCGGCCCAGGAUCAGGCAAGGCCCUAUAACCUGAGGAAACGAGAGUGGAAACCACAGAUAGGAGAGGUCGUAUUGGUACGGCAACACCAUCUAUCUAAUGCGGCGGAGGGAUUCGCUGCUAAGUUGGCACCGAGGUAUGCCGGGCCGUAUCGGGUGGUCGACUUUAAGUCGCCAGUGAUCUGCCAGCUGAAGAGAGACAGCGAUGGGCAUGUUCGGACGGCCCACUUGGCAGACCUGAAGCGACAGCCGAAAGAGGGAUGAAGGUAAAUGCCACCCAAGACCACGGGAAAGACAGCCAAAAGGCUGGAAAGGCUCAGAAGAGCGUCACCGAGAAUAACAAAAGGGUGAAAAAUGAGACAGACCCUACAAUCAGACAGAGCUGUAGGUAUGGGCGGUUUCAGGAAGUGAAAAUCUAGCUACCAAUUAGAGCGCGGGAAAGGUUACGAAAAGGAAAAAAAGGGAAAAGGUGUCGCGCAGGACACGGGAAAAGGGGAUCAUCACGCUGGAUGAAGAAGGCGAGACUUGAGGUGUCGCGCAGGACACCAUAGAGGGGCAACAUCACACAGGAUGAAGCUGACCUUAAAAUACGUAUAAAAGUAAAGGAGUGGUGCCACGCAGGACACGCUGGAGGGGCCCGCCACGCAGGACGAGCGGAAUAUUUAAAAAAAAGUUAGGUAUAAAGCGGUGCACCUGGAAAAAUAAAGAAAGAGUUAGAUUGGGUUAAAUGAGGCUGGCAAGAUACAAAUUACCCGCCGCCCUCGGGAGGAAUGGACGUUACACACUCAUGGCGCUGGGGCGAUGCCCAGGCAUGGUAAGGGAUGGUGAGGUGGUCGCGGGAAAUCCAGGCUCGUGCUAACGAGCGCCGGAUCCAGGGGAGCGGGAGCCGCCCACGCGUGGACUGACGGGCGAGGCAUCGGACGAUCCUCGGGUCCGGGACACUGUGGGGGAAGUGUGGGGGGACUUCCAACCGAUCUGGAUCAGAAAGCCGGCGUGCUUGGGAAAGCC
rnacentral:lncRNA from 1 species